rnacentral:rRNA from 1 species
CAGCCGCCGCGGGAAUACGUAGGGGGCAAGCGUUGUCCGGAAUCAUUGGGCGUAAAGCGCGUGUAGGCGGCUCGAUAAGUCUGCUGUGAAAGUCCAGGGCUCAACCCUGGGAUGCCGGUGGAUACUGUCGAGCUCGAGUCCGGAAGAGGCGAGUGGAAUUCCUGGUGUAGCGGUGAAAUGCGCAGAUAUCAGGAGGAACACCAAUGGCGAAGGCAGCUCGCUGGGACGUGACUGACGCUGAGACGCGAAAGCGUGGGGAGCAAACAGGAUUAGAGACCCCGGUAGUCCCUGUCUCUUAUAC